UAUGUGAUCGUCUCUCGCAUAUCAAUAAGCGGAGGAAAAGAAACUAACAAGGAUUCCCCUAGUAACGGCGAGUGAAGCGGGAAGAGCUCAAAUUUGAAAUCUUAAAGGGUUUCCCUUUACGAAUUGUAGUUUAAAGAAGUGUUUUCUGUUGAGGUUUUGGUAAAAGUUCUUUGGAAUAGGACAUCAUAGAGGGUGAGAAUCCCGUAUUUGACCUUUACUUUCAACUUUGUGAUACACUUUCAAAGAGUCGGAUUGUUUGGGAAUGCAGUCCAAAAUGGGUGGUAAAUUUCAUCUAAAGCUAAAUAUUAGGCGAGAGACCGAUAGCGAACAAGUACCGUGAGGGAAAGAUGAAAAGAACUUGAAAAGAGAGUUAAACAGUACGUGAAAUUGUCAAAAGGGAAGCGUUUGACACCAGUGUUGUUUUUCUGAAAAUCAAUUAAAGAACUGUUUAUGCUAAGCUGUUUAGACUUUAUCAGCUAUCUGUUUAGUUUUGAGCUUUUCUUUAAUGCACUUUUCAGUUAACAAGUCAACAUCAAUUUCUUUUGCUGUAAAAAAGCUUGAGGAAGGUGGCUUGAGAUUCGUCUUAAGUGUUUAUAGCCUCUUGCCUAUGCAGUCGGAGAGAUUGAGGUCUGCAGCGUAGAUCCUUCGGGGCUAAAUGCAUUUGUGCUAAGUUAUAGCAUUUUAUAGACAACUUGUUGACUAUGAUUUGUCUUGUAGCUUACUCGCUUAUGUUAUUUUACCUACGCUUAGGAUGUUGAUCUACAGAGCGAGAGU
rnacentral:rRNA from 1 species